UACGUAGGGUGCAAGCGUUAAUCGGAAUUACUGGGCGUAAAGCGUGCGCAGGCGGUUGUGCAAGACAGAUGUGAAAUCCCCGGGCUUAACCUGGGAAUUGCAUUUGUGACUGUACGGCCAGAGUGUGUCAGAGGGGGGUAGAAUUCCACGUGUAGCAGUGAAAUGCGUAGAGAUGUGGAGGAAUACCGAUGGCGAAGGCAGCCCCCUGGGAUAACACUGACGCUCAUGCACGAAAGCGUGGGGAGCAAACAGG
rnacentral:rRNA from 1 species